GACUCGGGAUAAUUUAUUAGAAAUAGGCCAAUUCAAAACACGAAAGAAAAUAUUUAUUAACAUGAAACACGUGGUUAGUAAAAGGCUCAACCAAACGAUAAAACAUUAGUUGCACUUACGGUUCUUUGAUAAUCAUCGUUUCUCAUAAAAGUUUUAUAUUUAUUUAAAACGAAUAAUAUGCUGAUGAAUUUAUUUGAAAAUGACCUACACAAAAAACAAAAUAAAUAUUUACACGACAUGCAAUCUUUUUUUACAAGCCCCUAGAAAUUGUUAACGAUAAUCCGUGAGCUGCACGUUGACAUGCUUGUCGUAGAUGGCAAUACCAAUUGAUAAAUUAGUGCGUACAAGGCAAAGUUUUUUUGUGGACAAUAUAAGAAAUGGCAACGAACAAAGCGGGAUAAUUAAAGCUGAUAAUCCCAAUGUUAUUACAGUAUGUUCAAAGAAACCUAACGGUUCUUUGGUGGAUGAGGAAAAACGUGAGUUGUCAAUCAUCGAGAAUGGCGGCCGUGUGUUGAUUGCAGUUAUACCGUUUCACGAAAAAACAUUAGCAGUGGUCGGUCAAUCAAGCUCGUUUACUAUUUAUAACGCAAAUUUUUCGUUUCGGUUAAAACAAUAUAUACGUCCAUUUUAAUUGGCCGAAGGAUGUGUGACUAAUAGAAAUAUGGCGGGAGGACAAACUGACCAAACAGUAUAUUUCGAGGUAUUUGAGGCCAAGAACAUGGAAAAUUGGUAAUUGCCUUGUAUCACUGCUAACUAUAAGGCACAGGGAGCCUUGGGCAGAAAUGAUAAUAAUAUGGUUCUCAGAUAUGUUACUGUAUACAGACUGAACAAAAAAUAUAUAUACACUUGCUAUUACAUGUACAUUAUAUCAUUGGCAAUAAUAAGAUCCAAUUUUAGUUUUUAGUUACACACUGUUAACCACCAAUAGAUGACAAUAAAUCAUAAAAUGUAUUCAGCUCGACGUAAGACUUAAAUAAAUAGAUACAGUUGGUUUAACUUGAAUAGAAGUUUUAAUUAUCUAUGCUGCAUAUAUGCAUAUAUCACCUUGCAGCUGAAUCACAUUACAUAUCUUUUUAGUUGAUGUUCAUAUCGUCUUACGUAUUUGUCAACAUCAAUGUGACCUUGUUCUAUGUCACAUUAGCCUUUUCAGACUUGUUACCACGAAUUUACUCACCACACCCUCGCAUAGUUAUGAAUUUAUUGUUUCACUUGACUAAAGAAACAUUUUGUAGGAAUGUAUGCUUUUAUAGAUUGGACACUUGUUUGCAAUAUCAUUGUCGGUGGAAACUGGCACUAUACCUAAAGAAUGACUGAACAAAUAGCGGAGACGGGGUUUCAGCCGGCUGAUUUAAAUUAUUUCUUUAAAUACAGUAAAGCUUGAAAUAUGUCA